GCCGAAGUGGUGGAAUUGGUAGACACGCGGUGUUCAGGGCGCCGUGUCUUCACGGGCGUGUGGGUUCGAGUCCCACCUUCGGCA
rnacentral:tRNA from 1 species